rnacentral:lncRNA from 10 species
GCUUGGCACAGCAGAAGGAACAGAUUCACUUGGGACUGGAAUCUGGUUCUGCCACUUGCCGGCUCUGUGACUUUAGGCAAGCGACUUCACAUUCCUCAGCCAAUUUCAUCCGUGAAAAGCUUAAAAUAGCUAGAGUGGUUGGUUUCCUGCACUGACCCUGACUGACAAAUGAGUUUGAGAGCACAGGCCAAAGGGAACAGUGUCAGAGACUCAACACGAUAAAUACAUCAUCCAGGAAGAGAAACUAGAGCUGCUCAUUGCUAAAACCAGAAGAGCAAGAUGUUGGAGAAUUAAUAUCUGCUAGAGAAAUAUGCAUCUCAGCCUGGACUAAUUGGUGCCUGGAACAUGAUGGCGGAGUUUCGGUCCUGUUGCCCAGGCUGGAGUACAAUGGCGCAAUUUCAGCUCACAGCAGUGAUUCUCCUCCCUCAGCCUCGCGAGAAGCUGGGAUUA